rnacentral:rRNA from 1 species
GCAGUCGAGCGGGAUUCUAUUUUUUCAUUCUUCGGAAGAGAAGUUAUAGAUGAGUAGCGGCGAACGGGUUAGUAAUAAAUGGGUAAUUUGCCUCUUUGUUCGGAAUAGCCACCGGAAACGGUGAUUAAUGCCGGAUGUGUUCGGGAACUGCAUAGUUCCUUAUAUAAAGGCGGGGAUUCUUCGGAACCUGUCGCAAAGAGAUAAGCCCAUUUCCUAUCAGCUUGUUGGUGAGGUAAUGGCUCACCAAGGCUUACGGGUAGUUGGUCUGAGAGGAUGAUCAGCAACACUGGGACUGAGACACUGCCCAGACUCCUACGGGAGGCUGCAGUCGAGAAUCAUUGUCAAUGCACGAAAGUGUGAACAUGCGACGCCGCGUGGAGGAAGACGGCCUUUGGGUUGUAAACUCCUGUCAGCAGGAGUAAGGAUGGCUUAUUUAAUACAUAUGCCAUUUGAUAGUACCUGCAGAGGAAGUCACGGCUAACUCUGUGCCAGCAGCCGCGGUAAUACAGAGGUGGCGAACGUUGUUCGGAUUUACUGGGCGUAAAGGGUCCGCAGGCGGUCCGGUGUGUCAGAUGUGAAAGCCCACAGCUUAACUGUGGAAUUGCAUUUGAAACUGCCGGACUAGAGUACUGGAGGGGAGAAGGGAACACUUGGUGUAGCGGUGAAAUGCGUAGAUAUCAAGUGGAACACCGGUGGCGAAGGCGCUUCUCUGGACAGAUACUGACGCUCAUGGACGAAAGUUAGGGU